GCUGUCUCGGCUCAGGGCGGGGAGGAGGCGCUUCUGCCUCCCCCCCACUGGCUGCUGUCGCCUGGCGGGGGAGGCACUGCUGGCUGGGCCGGGCGGGGGCGUAGCGGCGACCGCCUCCCCCCACUCUCCCAAGGAGGUGCGGGCACCGCGGUCCCUCCCAGUCCCCGGGAGCCUCUCUGCUGUCCCCCUUGGGCCUCUCAAGGAAGCGUCUCUGGCCGCUUUGGAUAUUGGUUUUUGUUGGACUUGGAAUUGGGAAUUGAGGGCGACUGGGGGACGCCGGGACAGAGGGCGAUUCAGCAAAGCCCAGCUGCUUUGGCAGCCCGGCAGCGUUCUUCUCAGGGUGGAAGCCGAGGGAUGGCAUCUUCCUUUCACCAUUUGGAAGAAAUUUUGGAAUGAACAAUACCUUUUCUCCCUCUGAAAUACUGCUUCCUGAGCUUUAAGGAGGCAUAGCCAGAUCUUGCUGAUUUCCUGACGCUGACCACACGGGAUGCAGGCUGGUCCUCACCCUAAGAAGAGAGAGCCUCCCCAACCCCAAGAAGGAAGGGAAAGCGGAUGGCUCUCUGGGUCCCUGUGAGAUGGGAAUGUUCCCACUUUCUCUCUGGAUUCUCUGCAAAAGACAGCAAGAUACCCCAGGGGAUAUUGGUGGAAAAGAUGAAUGCAUAGGAAUCAAGCUGAAGGAAGAGAAAGAAGGAAAGAAAAGAAACCAGUGAAGCACAGAUGUGCAGACCAGAGGAGGAAUUGUCCUAACUAUUGUUCCUAUGACAAUUGAAAAUAAAUGUAGUUUUUACUCUGCGUGGC
ensembl:lncRNA